rnacentral:pre_miRNA from 1 species
AUUGUACUCCCUCCAUUCUAAAUUAUUUGUCGCAGGUAUGGAUGUAUCUAGAUGUAUUUUAGUUCUAAAUACAUCCAUUUCUGCGACGAAUAAUUUGGAACGAAGGGAGUAGUGA